GGGGAAUAUUGCACAAUGGGGGAAACCCUGAUGCAGCAACGCCGCGUGGGUGAAGAAGGCCUUCGGGUUGUAAAGCCCUUUCGGACGCGAAGAAGGGUAUGCGGGUGAAUAAUCCGUAUAUUUGAUGGUAGCGUAGGAAGAAGCACCGGCUAACUUCGUGCCAGCAGCCGCGGUAAUACGAAGGGUGCGAGCGUUGUUCGGAUUUACUGGGCGUAAAGGGUUCGUAGGCGGGAUUACAAGUUGAGUGUGAAAACCCUAGGCUUAACCUAGGACGUGCAUUCAAGACUGUAGUUCUUGAGUUUUGGAGAGGGUGAUGGGAUUGCUGGUGUAGGAGUGACAUCCGUAGAGAUCAGCAGGAACGCCAGAGGCGAAAGCGAUCACCUGGCCAAGGACUGACGCUGAGGAACGAAAGCGUGGGGAGCAAAC
rnacentral:rRNA from 1 species